UACGUAGGGCGCAAGCGUUGUCCGGAAUUAUUGGGCGUAAAGAGCUCGUAGGCGGUUUGUCGCGUCUGCUGUGAAAGCCCGGGGCUCAACCCCGGGUCUGCAGUGGGUACGGGCAGACUAGAGUGCAGUAGGGGAGACUGGAAUUCCUGGUGUAGCGGUGAAAUGCGCAGAUAUCAGGAGGAACACCGAUGGCGAAGGCAGGUCUCUGGGCUGUAACUGACGCUGAGGCGCGAAAGCGUGGGGAGCGAACGGG
rnacentral:rRNA from 1 species